GGAGUGAUGUGAUCUCCUUCAAAACUGAUUGCCUUUUAUAGUUUCGAAUUUGACUUUCCAUAAGGAAAGCAGAUUUUCUAAUGGUUUUAAAGCAUCAGUCCUUCCCUGAGAGGUUAGACAAAAAGAAAAGCAUUUAAGAAAUCAGGAGACCAAGCCUGCUAACAAAGAAACCAAGCUCUUGUCUCCCCAGCAGCUGUGAUCUGCUGCCAAGAUUUGUUCUGCUCUCCAUGUUAUUUAUGACCCUGUCGUGCAGCUUAUUCAUACACACUUUCCCAGUGGCCAGGCUGAGGAUACGGACGUACUGAAGUGCUGCUCACAGAGUGUGGGGAGAGGGCUCUGGUGGGACAAAGCACAGCCCUAGCUCUAUUCAGGUCUUUCCAUAUGAGAAAAGUCUCAGGCUGUUAUAUUUACC
ensembl:lncRNA